ensembl:snRNA U5 U5 spliceosomal RNA
UCUCAUCAGUUUCUCUUCAGAUUGUAUAAAUCUUUCCCCUUUUACUAAAGAUUUCCAUGGAGAGGAACAAUUAUGAGUUUUUAACGAGGACUUGUUUCUAGGAGGCUCCCAUUUAAAAGUUU